rnacentral:tRNA from 1 species
GUCCCCGUAGCUUAUUCAAAGCAUGGCGCUGAAGAUGUCAAGAAGGCUGCCACACGCACCCGAGGACA